rnacentral:lncRNA from 1 species
UCAUUGCACUUAGAAGUGUAUCAAAUACGUCCGAAACAUUCAAUUAUAAACAAUAUAAUUAAUAAAAACGUUUUUUUACUAAUAUACUAUAAAUGAAGUUAGCAUAAAAUGAUAAAAGUUUUUGAAUACCUUAUGCCGUCUUUUUAUUAAAUCAGUUUUAAUUUGCAAUUCAUCCAGUGAGCGUAGCCCAGCUGGCUACAGUACUUCGACUCGAUUCUUCAAAGCAUCAAUAAAUAGAAUGGCAUUCAAUAUAUUGUUUUAUAUUUAGAAUUAAAAUUUUAUUUAAAUAAAGACCAAUU